CUUGCUGAACUCUGAUCAAGCAUUCCUUCUUCUAAUGGAAGAAGUAACAGAGAGGGAAGAAGAGGCUGAUACACUGCACCAUGAUUCCAAUUCUAAUAAAGUUGUAUUGCCUAGUUUGGUACCUCUUGUUGGCAUGGAAUUUAGAAAUUCAGAUGAGGCUUGGGCAUUUUGGCUUACCUACAGUGGACAGAAAGGAUCUGAGGUCAGAAAAAGGUAUACAAACAAGAGGCCAACCGAUGGCAAAGUUACAUCAUGUAGAUUUGUUUGUGCAUGUAGUGGUGCUGGACAAGUUGCAGGUGUUAUAGUUUACAAGGACAAUGGAAAAGAGUCUCAAGAUUACAAGAACAAUCUCAGCUUCACUCAACUGUUGAUGGUAAUCUUGCCCAUAUAGAGAUGGUAUUUUUUCAAUAACAACUUAUUUAUUUAAUUUACAGGGACCAAUCACAGAUGGCUGAUGGACGGUGCAGCGCGAAGAACGUCCCUCGGCAGUAGAACUUCCCAAGUCAGCUUCCUAUGGGGGACGCGGCUCGUCUGACGGAGACCUCCUUUUUCUUUUGAGGAUCUGACGGAGACCUCCUAUACAGCGCCGCUCACGCGCCCUCUCGCGUGGGCCGGCCCAUCAAGCAACGUGCUUCCCUCGCGAUUUCAGGCUUGGUUCGUUCGGUCCACGGUUGACCGUUGAUUGGCUGACCAUUGUGGCUUUUUUUUUUUUUUUUGCGAGGCGACCAUUGGCUUUUGUAAGAAACAGUAUCUGAAAAAGUUCGUUUCCCCCUCAAAAAAAAUCUGAAAAAGUUCGUGCAUUUAAGAAAAUGUUUGUGCCUUUGAAACCGUUCACAGAUUUGAAAAAAAAUGGAUUGAUUAGAAAAAGUUCUACACUUGAAAAACGUUUGUGAAGUUAAAAUAAAUGUUCGUCAAUUCAAAAAUUGUUCAUGAAUUUGGAAAAUAUUUACGAAUUAGAGCAUUGAAGACAUUUUAAUAGUGUUCAUGAAUUUCUAAAAAUUAUUCACGAAUUUCAUUUUUAAUGAAAUUGAAACUUUUUCAAGAAUUAAGAAACAUUUCAUAAAAUUAAAAAAUAAUCUUAUAUUUUAAAAAUAUGGAAGAAUUUGAAAAUUGUUCACCAAAUUGAAUAAACGUUCUCAAAUGUUUAAAAAUUAUUCUCAAAUUUCAAAAAUGUUCAUGAAUUUUUUUGACAGAGUUAUAAAAAGCUCAGAAAUUUCAAAACUACUCAUGAUUUAUGGAAAAAUCACGAAUUUGAAAAAAAAUACAAAAAUCUCUACUAUCUAUCUCUACUAUCUAAAA